rnacentral:rRNA from 1 species
GACGAACUUUGGCGGCGUGCUUAACACAUGCAAGUCGAACGGAAAGGCCCUGCUUUUGUGGGGUGCUCGAGUGGCGAACGGGUGAGUAACACGUGAGUAACCUGCCCUUGACUUUGGGAUAACUUCAGGAAACUGGGGCUAAUACCGGAUAGGAGCUCCUGCUGCAUGGUGGGGGUUGGAAAGUUUCGGCGGCUGGGGAUGGACUCGCGGCUUAUCAGCUUGUUGGUGGGGUAGUGGCUUACCAAGGCUUUGACGGGUAGCCGGCCUGAGAGGGUGACCGGCCACAUUGGGACUGAGAUACGGCCCAGACUCCUACGGGAGGCAGCAGUGGGGAAUACUGCACAAUGGGCGGAAGCCUGAUGCAGCAACGCCGCGUGCGGGAUGACGGCCUUCGGGUUGUAAACCGCUUUCGCCUGUGACGAAGCGUGAGUGACGGUAAUGGGUAAAGAAGCACCGGCUAACUACGUGCCAGCAGCCGCGGUGAUACGUAGGGUGCGAGCGUUGUCCGGAUUUAUUGGGCGUAAAGGGCUCGUAGGUGGUUGAUCGCGUCGGAAGUGUAAUCUUGGGGCUUAACCCUGAGCGUGCUUUCGAUACGGGUUGACUUGAGGAAGGUAGGGGAGAAUGGAAUUCCUGGUGGAGCGGUGGAAUGCGCAGAUAUCAGGAGGAACACCAGUGGCGAAGGCGGUUCUCUGGGCCUUUCCUGACGCUGAGGAGCGAAAGCGUGGGGAGCGAACAGGCUUAGAUACCCUGGUAGUCCACGCUGUAAACGGUGGGUACUAGGUGUGGGGUCCAUUCCACGGGUUCCGUGCCGUAGCUAACGCUUUAAGUACCCCGCCUGGGGAGUACGGCCGCAAGGCUAAAACUCAAAGGAAUUGACGGGGCCCCGCACAAGCGGCGGAGCAUGCGGAUUAAUUCGAUGCAACGCGUAGAACCUUACCUGGGUUUGACAUGGAUCGGGAGUGCUCAGAGAUGGGUGUGCCUCUUUUGGGGUCGGUUCACAGGUGGUGCAUGCCUGUCGUCAGCUCGUGUCGUGAGAUGUUGGGUUAAGUCCCGCAACGAGCGCAACCCUUGUUCACUGUUGCCAGCACGUUAUGGUGGGGACUCAGUGGAGACCGCCGGGGUCAACUCGGAGGAAGGUGGGGAUGACGUCAAGUCAUCAUGCCCCUUAUGUCCAGGGCUUCACGCAUGCUACAAUGGCUGGUACAGAGAGUGGCGAGCCUGUGAGGGUGAGCGAAUCUCGGAAAGCCGGUCUCAGUUCGGAUUGGGGUCUGCAACUCGACCUCAUGAAGUCGGAGUCGCUAGUAAUCGCAGAUCAGCAACGCUGCGGUGAAUACGUUCCCGGGGCU